GGUUGAUCCUGCCAGUAGUCAUAUGCUUGUCUCAAAGAUUAAGCCAUGCAUGUCUAAGUAUAAACAUCUUUAUACAGUGAAACUGCGUACAGCUCAUUAUAUCAGUAAUUAUUUAUUUGAUGGUACCUUACUACAUGGAUAACCGUAGUAAUUCUAGAGCUAAUACAUGCGUAAAAUCUCGUAGGCAACUAUGAGAUGUAUUUAUUAGAUAAAAAAUCAAUGCAGGCAACUGCUUUCAUUGGUGAAUCAUAGUAACUGAUCGAAUCGCAUGGCUUUACGCUGGCGAUAGUUC
rnacentral:rRNA from 1 species